rnacentral:tRNA from 1 species
AGGAAGGGAAAAUUAGCCGAUAACUAAUUUUAUACUAGUUCGAUUCUAGUCCUAUCUU